ensembl:lncRNA
AGGUUAUUUAGAGUUCACAUUGAACCUAACUUGCAUGAGGAAGCUGGAGAACCUGACUUGUCUAAGCUUUUUGAACAGCAAUUUAACCAUAACAGCAGAUAAAAGUUCAGAAAACCACAGUCCAUCUGCGUCGUGCCGUCUCUUUGUGGUUAAUGUUUCCCCAACAAUAGAAUAUUUUCAUUAUUCAAACUGCUGAGAACACGUGACCGACUCUUCCUGAAGGUGACGUUGGAGCUUCGCUCAUCCUUCUGAGCUCAGCCGUGGAGGUCCAUAAAGGAGCGGAGGGUAAACGGUAAACAAAGGACUCUGCACACUACUGCAGGCACAUGCAGUGUGCUCAAUGCAGGUUUUUCCACAUUUCUUUUUACAAUUUUUGCAAUAGAAACAUAACCAAACUGUUAAUUAAACAUAUUGAACAUAUAGGACAAUAUUGUCUACAUGUUCAUUUAAUUUAGCCUGGUAAAAGUUAGAAUAUCCUGGAUUUGAAAGUAGUGAUGCAAAGCGACACCCCAAUAUGUUUUAACAUGGUCCAAGAAGCGAUGGUUCAAGAAAACGUACUGAUGAUUGGCUAAAAACAACCUCAACUCGUUUCCCGUCGGUCCAAAAAACAACUCAUAUGACAUAUAUUUCCAUUUUCAUACAGGUAAUUCCCUAAAUUAUAUUAAAUCAAAUGACACAGUUGUGACUUAACAUUUGAAACUUGAAUUUAAUUAACAAUAAUUGUCCUUGAAUGUGCGACGAGUUAAAUCAUUAAUCAUGAAAAUAUUGAAAAUUGUUUGUUUCAGGAUUUGAAAUAUUACCAACAAGCUUUAAACCAUGAAAUGUGAAUUGUAAUGGAUUCUCUGAAACACUUCCCCGGGACAUCUGUGGAGCUUUCAGGGUUUCACUGCCUCCGCCGCAGGAGAGUGUGCCAGUGUCCAAAAUGGAAUCAGGUUUCCUUGGCAGCCUCAAGGCUUCCAGGCAGAAGGAGGUUACUGAGGGUGGACAUGGAGGCCCUCGUGCCUACACUGUGUUAGAGGCACCUGUUGCAAAUGCAUUCCCCUUUGUAACUCAAUCACAUGUCAGACAAGGAAAAGAAAACUGUUAUUACAGACCAGCGCUUCAUUUAAAUCAUUGUCAUGCAAUUUUCAAUUAGGUCGAAGGAAAACCCGGCCAGCUCAUGCACUCUGCUCUGCUCCGCUGCUGCAGGAACUGAUUCACAAGGCAUCAGAAGCAUGCAGACAAAUGAGAUCCUUUGAAUCUGGUACAGCAUUCGUUACACACAGAUGAACCGGUGACCCCGUGAGAGGGUCCUGACUCGGUCACUGUGGCUGUGAGUUAACUAUAGAACCUGUGUGAAUAUCUACCACAAGUUAGUCAAAGUUACUCUGAACACUUUUCUCACACACCAUCCUUACUUUCUACAAUGCAUUCCUUUCUCAACACAAAUCAACGUUCUUCAAACACUUUCAACCAGCAUAAAUAAAUAAAAGUACACCUGUUAACAUCAGCAUGCAUAUCAGAUUUCAACUGCAGUGGCUGCCUUAUAAUGUUAGUGAUCUAACAAAGCAAAGUAGUGCUGUAGACGAGGACGAUGUGUAAUGUUAAAUGGAAAUCUAGCAAGUAUUUGGUUGCUAAUCACUUUAAAU